rnacentral:rRNA from 1 species
AGUGAACGCUGGCGGCAGGCCUAACACAUGCAAGUCGAACGGCAGCACAGUAAGAGCUUGCUCUUACGGGUGGCGAGUGGCGGACGGGUGAGGAAUACACCCGAGCCUACUUUUUCGUGGGGCUAACGCUGGGAAACUUACGCUAAUGCCGCAUACGACCUACGGGUGAAAGCAGGGGAUCUUCGGACCUUGCGCGAUUGAAUGAGCCGAUGGCGGAUUAGCUAGUUGGCGGGGUAAAGGCCCACCAAGGCGACGAUCCGUAGCUGGUCUGUGAGGAUGAUCAGCCACACUGGAACUGGAGAACGGUCCAAGCUCCUACGGGAGGCAGCAGUGGGGAAUAUUGGACAAUGGGCGCAAGCCUGGUCCAACCAUACCGGGUGGGUGAAGAAGGCCUUCGGGUUUGAAAGCCCCUUUUUUGGGAAAGAAAAGCAGCAGGUUAAAAACCCGCUGUUCUGACGGUAACCAAAAAAUAAGCAACGGCUAACUUCGUG